rnacentral:rRNA from 1 species
UGUUAUCCUGUCUGAAUACGGGGGGACCAUCCUCCAAGGCUAAAUACUCCUGACUGACCGAUAGUGAACCAGUACCGUGAGGGAAAGGCGAAAAGAACCCCGGCGAGGGGAGUGAAAAAGAACCUGAAACCGUGUACGUACAAGCAGUGGGAGCACCCUUCGGGGUGUGACUGCGUACCUUUUGUAUAAUGGGUCAGCGACUUAUAUUCUGUAGCAAGGUUAACCGGAUAGGGGAGCCGCAGGGAAACCGAGUCUUAACUGGGCGAAUUAGUUGCAGGGUAUAGACCCGAAACCCGGUGAUCUAGCCAUGGGCAGGUUGAAGGUUGGGUAACACUAACUGGAGGACCGAACCGACUAAUGUUGAAAAAUUAGCGGAUGACUUGUGGCUGGGGGUGAAAGGCCAAUCAAACCGGGAGAUAGCUGGUUCUCCCCGAAAGCU